rnacentral:rRNA from 1 species
UAGGGAAUCUUCCGCAAUGGACGCAAGUCUGACGGAGCAACGCCGCGUGAGUGAAGAAGGAUUUCGGUUCGUAAAACUCUGUUGUUAGAGAAGAACAGCGCAUAGAGUAACUGUUAUGCGUGUGACGGUAUCUAACCAGAAAGCCACGGCUAACUACGUGCCAGCAGCCGCGGUAAUACGUAGGGGGCUAGCGUUGUCCGGAAUUAUUGGGCGUAAAGGGUACGCAGGCGGUUUAAUAAGUCGAAUGUUAAAGAUCGGGGCUCAACCCCGUAAAGCAUUGGAAACUGAUAAACUUGAGUAGUGGAGAGGAAAGUGGAAUUCCUAGUGUAGUGGUGAAAUACGUAGAUAUUAGGAGGAAUACCAGUAGCGAAGGCGACUUUCUGGACACAAACUGACGCUGAGGUACGAAAGCGUGGGGAGCAAACAGG